rnacentral:rRNA from 1 species
GAUGAACGCUGGCGGCGUGCCUAAUACAUGCAAGUCGAGCGAACAGAUGAGGAGCUUGCUCCUCUGACGUUAGCGGCGGACGGGUGAGUAACACGUGGAUAACCUACCUAUAAGACUGGGAUAACUUCGGGAAACCGGAGCUAAUACCGGAUCAUAUAUUGAACCGCAUGGUUCAAUAGUGAAAGACGGCUUUGCUGUUACUUAUAGAUGGAUCCGCGCCGCAUUAGCUAGUUGGUAAGGUAACGGCUUACCAAGGCAACGAUGCGUAGCCGACCUGAGAGGGUGAUCAGCCACACUGGAACUGAGACACGGUCCAGACUCCUACGGGAGGCAGCAGUAGGGAAUAUUCCGCAAUGGGCGAAAGCCUGACGGAGCAACGCCGCGUGAGUGAUGAAGGUCUUCGGAUCGUAAAACUCUGUUAUUAGGGAAGAACAAAUGUGUAAGUAACUAUGCACGUCUUGACGGUACCUAAUCAGAAAGCCACGGCUAACUACGUG